UUGCAUAUAUAUAUCCUAAGAUUCACAAUCAUGAUUCAUAUUCCCAUGGCACAACUACCAUAUCCUAAACCACUAACAACACCAACUUCACCAAAUACUACUCCACCACCACCACCUUAUCUCUUUUCUUCAUUACCUGUAAUUCUAAUGAUAAUACUGUUGUCCUUUCGCGUGAUACCAGGCAAUUCGGAGAUCCUUUAUUCAUUCAUAUUUUUUCCCCCUUUUUAGGUUGGAAAGUUGGUGUUGAUUUUGUGACCUUCAAACUACCUCUCCUACAACCUAUUAGUACAUAUGGUUCAUGCCACCAUGAUAUAUUAAUUCCUUGUUGCAGCCAUGGUAAAAAGGCAGCCAAGUGGUGAUUGCUUAGGAGAGACAGGUGAAAGCAUUGGAAAAAAGUUUCGGAGGUACUUUGAACAGAUGUGAAUAUAUAUAUAUAUAUAUAUAUUUAUAUAUAAAUCAGAUUUGUAUUACGAAGUUGGAAGAUAUGCUUUUUAGUAGACUAUGAGGUGGUCCUUCUAAUAAAAUGGAAUAUUUAGGUA